rnacentral:rRNA from 1 species
AUCAACUUUCGAUGGUAGGAUAGAGGCCUACCAUGGUGGUAACGGGUAACGGGGUGUUAGGGCACGACACCGGAGAGGGAGCCUGAGAAACGGCUACCACAUCCAAGGAUGGCAGCAGGCGCGCAAAUUACCCAAUCCCGACACGGGGAGGUAGUGACAAUAAAUAACAAUACGGGGUUUUUUCGGAUCUCGUAAUUGGAAUGAGUACAAUUUAAAUCUCUUAACGAGGAACAAUUGGAGGGCAAGUCUGGUGCCAGCAGCCGCGGUAAUUCCAGCUCCAAUAGCGUAUAUUAAAGUUGUUGCAGUUAAAAAGCUCGUAGUUGAAUUUCGGGGUUAGUAGGUUGGUCAUGCCUCUGGUAUGCACUGGUCUCACUGAUUCCUCCUUCCUGAUGAGCCGUAAUGCCAUUAAUUUGGUGUUGCGGGGAAUUUGGACUGUUACUUUGAAAAAAUUAGAGUGUUUAAAGCAAGCUAACGCUUGAAUACAUUAGCAUGGAAUAAUGAAAUAGGACGUUCGAUCCUAUUUUGUUGGUUUCUAGGAUUGACGUAAUGAUUAAUAGGGAUAGUUGGGGGCAUUAGUAUUCAAUUGUCAGAGGUGAAAUUCUUGGAUUUAUUGAAGACUAACUACUGCGAAAGCAUUUGCCAAGGAUGUUUUCAUUAAUCAAGAACGAAAGUUAGGGGAUCGAAGACGAUCAGAUACCGUCGUAGUCUUAACCAUAAACUAUGCCGACUAGGGAUCGGAUGAUGUUAAUUUUUUAAUGACUCAUUCGGCGCCUUACGGGAAACCAAAGUGUUUGGGUUC